rnacentral:lncRNA from 1 species
GGAGCUGGUAAUCAGGAUGGCAGUGAGGCAGGCACUUGCUUGCAGAAGAACAGGCCUAGUUUUUUAAGAAGCCACAAAAGUGUCUUUGGAUGAUUAGGAUCUAAGGGGCCAACAGCUUUGCAAUAACAGCAUAAAUAUUGUGGGCUGGAUGGACAGGCACCAAAUGGGGACAUUCCAUCCUGCUGUGUGAUGAGAAAGCUGCCACUUUUGAGGCCUUCCAAAACAAAUCAACACUCCAUAUGCCAGAAGGAAAAGCCCAGGAAAGACCUAUUCCAACUGGAGAUGGUGAAUGUCAUUUCUUCAAGAAGCUGAGAUCCAGCUGGUACUGCCAGGUGGAGAGAAUACGAAGGGAGAAUGAAACAAAACUGCUCCGCUUAGGGAACUUGGAAAGGAAAUUGAAAAGGCAAGGCACAGGCUGGAAGAAAAUAUUUGAAAAAGAUUUAUGUGAACUUCUUUCUGGAUUAUACAAAAUAUUUUUAGAUAUUCUUACAACUCUAAAAUAAGAUAACUCCUUAAAAAUCUAAAUUCUACCAAAGGAGAGAUAAAGAUGACGAAUACAUUCAAAGAUGCUGAAAAUCACUUAUUUAUUAUUAGGAAGUUACAAGCUAAAGCAUAAUGAGAUACCACUACAACCUACUAAACUGACUAAAAUUAAUCAGACUAACCAGGUGUUGGCAAGAAACAGGGACACUGAGACUCUCACACUGCUGGAAGGAAUGUAAAAUGCUAAAACUUCUUUGGAAAUGAGUUCAGUAACUUUUUAAACAGUUGAAAAUAGACCUAUCAUGCAAACCAGCAAUCCCACUUCCAGGUAUUUAUACAAGGAAAAUGACAACAUAUGCCCACAUAAAGACUUGUGCACAAAUGACCGUAGCAGCUUUGUGAUAAUUGCUAAAAACUAGAAACUUGUCAAGUGUCCAACAGUUGACAUGCAGGCUGGACAUACAGUGGGCCUCGAUUGCUUAGAAGCCAAACUGAACUCACCAAGAAAAGAAGACAGGAGAAACUUCUCAAGAGGAAUAUCUCCAAAUUGCAGGAUCGAAUACCAUAAGAGGAAUUCUGGACUGAAGAGUUAUGAAGUCAUUUCAGACACUUCCAGACAAUUUGUGUUAAUUAAAUUCUCACUGGUUGAGUUCCAUUCUACACUGGAAGAGCAUUUUUCCUGGAAAGGCUCCUCAAAAUGGACACCAUCAAGAGUCACCUCCUCAGUGAAGCCUUCCAUGGUUUCAUACCACCCAUCCCUAUCGGAAUGAAUGUAUCCUUGUUCUCCGUUAUCCCAGUAUUUUGCCUGGGCUUCUGUCACACUACUUUCAAUGUCUAUACCUCAGUUAUCGAAUCGAAAAACAAGAGUCAUCAGUCUCUAAGGUCCUUGCAAGCUUCAAAACUUUAUAUUUUUGUCAAUUACAACUGAAUAAAGCUGAACAACUUAUUAUUUAUGGAUACUUGCUCAAGCACCAUAUAACUCUUUCAGAUAUUUUAAAAGAAUAUGUUUGCAAAAGACUCCAAAUCAAUGUAUUAAAUUGAAAUCCAGUAUCAAAACACCCAUUAAAGUGCUCUUUUGAAAUUGUACAUUUUAUAUCAAUAAAAUUUCAAAAUAUAAAAACCUCUAUUUUACUUGUUGAAUUCUUAGGAAUAAUAACUAAACAGUUUUAAAAUAUUAGUAGAAAGAUGGUGUCUUUGAAAUAAGAAGAAUGGAGUUGGAGCAUAAGUUGCUUCUAGUUGAAUGACCUGGGCAUGAUUUAUCAUGUCUUUGCACCUCAGUUUCCCUAUCUGUAAAAUGGCAGUAAUGCUGACUUUACUUCACUAAGCUGUUGAGUAGAUUAAAUUAGACUGUG